GUUAGUAACACGUGGAUAACCUACCUAUAAGACUGGGAUAACUUCGGGAAACCGGAGCUAAUACCGGAUAAUAUAUUGAACCGCAUGGUUCAAUAGUGAAAGACGGUUUUGCUGUCACUUAUAGAUGGAUCCGCGUCGCAUUAGCUAGUUGGUAAGGUAACUGCUUACCAAGGCAACGAUGCGUAGCCGACCUGAGAGGGUGAUCGGCCACACUGGAACUGAGACACGGUCCAG
rnacentral:rRNA from 1 species